UUUCGAAUCGUUCACAAUGGGGGCAACCCUGAUGGCGCGACGCCGCGUGGGGGAUGAAGGUCUUCGGAUUGUAAACUCCUGUCAUUGGGGACUAAUGGCCAGGCUCAUACCCUGGUUUGAAUUAACCCAAAGAGGAAGCAGUGGCUAACUCUGUGCCAGCAGCCGCGGUAAUACAGAGACUGCAAGCGUUACUCGGAUUCACUGGGCGUAAAGGGAGCGCAGGCGGACUGGUGUGUCAGGCGUGAAAUCUCGGGGCUCAACCCCGAGGCUGCGCCCGAAACUACUAGUCUAGAGACUUGGAGGGGUAAGCGGAAUUCUUGGUGGAGCAGUGAAAUGCGUAGAUAUCAAGAGGAACACCAACGGCGAAGGCAGCUUACUGGACAAGAUCUGACGCUCAGGCUCGAAAGCGUGGGGAGCAAAAGGGAUUAGAUACCCCUGUAGUCCACGCUGUAAACGGUGCGCAUUAGGUCUCGGAGCUUUCGAACGCUUCGGGGCUCAAGCUAACGCAUUAAAUGCGCCGCCUGAGGACUACGGCCGCAAGGCUA
rnacentral:rRNA from 1 species